CAAAUCUCCAUUUGUUAACACUAAAUCUAGUAUGGCCUCUUUACGAGUUGGCUCCUCAACAACUUGUUUUAGAGACAAUCCCAGUAGGGAGUUUAGAAUAUGUGUGCUCCUGGCACAAGUAGCUAAUUUUGUUAGCAAUUAUUAGGAAGCUUGUAGGUCAGCACACUGGAAGAAUCCUAUGAAAUGUAUAGGAUAAAUAUGGAAUACAAAACAGUGGUGCAGAUACUAACAUCAGUUUACAUUGGCAAGAAGGGUUUAUUAGCUGCAUAAAAUGUUCAGUUUCAAGAAAAUUUUAUGAUUUAGCCCCCCUAAUGACAAUACUUUAAGUCUACCGCCACAUCACAAUACCAUGUUACUUACAUGCAAGUUACAAUCCAAAACAGCCCAAAAGGAAAUGAAGCACAUAAACAGUUCUGUUAAAUAGCAGCAACAGACCUGCCAGAGUUCUCUCUCCUUGCCUGAUUGUUGUUUGCAGUGGGUUGGUCAUUGUAUUUCUGAUGGGUAAAUAUGCAAAACAGAACAUGUAUGGCGGAGUAUAUUUAACUGUCUGGUCUGGAAUAGAUGUAGAGAAACACUUAUUUAAUAGAGCUCCAAACCAGCUCUAGGGUAUAUGGGUAUCUUCUUAUAAUCGGUAUAAACAUGUAAUACAAAGCAGAACAAAGGACCAAUAUAUAGUGUAGUAUUUCAAAUACACUUGGAUUAUAUAGAAUUUAUAUAUCAUAUGCACUCACAUCAUAUAGAGCCACAGGCGUCUCUAACAAGAUAUUGUGAAGUGGUAUAAUUCCCACUCAAGGAUAACGUUCAGCCAGGUGUAGUCAGCAGUAUGCGUGAUAUGUAAUAUAGUGCUCUCUGUAGACAACAGAUGAAAUAGUAAAUAAAAGAAUGAUACUUACAUGUAUCUGAGCAAUUUCGGGUAUUUCUCAAUCCUUUUGGCUUUAGUGAAUAGUAUCCCCACCAAGGAUAUAAUCAAUGUAGAGUAGAUUCAGAUGAGAGGCCACCCAAGAGCAUGAUUAAAAAAAAAAAGCUUUAUUAUAAAUUAAUUUAUAAAAGCAAGACAAUACAUAAUAAAAUUACUUUUUCUAAAGUGUACAGAGGAACUGAUUAGCGACCUAGACAAGUGGGUAGAGAAACCUAUCUCGUGGAUAGGGAGAGUUCACUCCAUCAAGAUGAACAUCCUCCCCAGCGUUCUUUUCCUGUUUUCCCGAUCAGAGGAGAUGGGUGGAACUGGAGUCACUAAUGAUGGACUCAGAUCUUCCCCAAUACUUUAUUUGGCUGCCCAAAGACCCCAGGGCGUUCCUGAGAACGGAUGGCCCGUGCAUACUUAACUCAAUCCGGGUAUGGGACAAAUACGCAGGAAAUAUGGCCUAGUUAAACUUCCCUUCCCAAUGAUGCCCCUGUUUAGGAACAGAGUAUUUCCCCAAGGGAUGAGACCCGGGACUUCAAAAAGCUGGAGACUGUGGGACUCUAAAGACUGCCACACAACUAACCGAGACCGCUUACACACCUUUAACAAACUAAAAGAGAGGGUGACCCUUACAAUCAGAGACCUCUUUCGGUACAUACAACUUAAAGACUUUCUCAACCAACCCGACAUAAAGGAAUUGACGACAAAAAACAUUACCCAACUAGAAAACGUGCUUGAAGGAAAGCAUACACAGGAAAAUGAUCUCAUCCGUCUACACACACAUAGCCUCCAACACUACUGAAUGGGGAACACUCACAUACGUUGACCAAUGGGAAGCAGACCUAGGUGAGAAACUUGAAGGAGUGGAGUGGCAGGAAAUAUGGGAAGCCGACAACACAUCCUCAAUUUGCACAACAGUACAAGAGCAGGCAUAUAAAACCAUGUUCCGAUGGUACACAACACCGGUACACCACCGCAUGCAGCAGACAUCCGAUGACCACUUCUGGAGGAACUGCGGGGCCAAGGGAACGUAUCUCCACAUUUGGUGGGAAUGCCCAGUCGUAAAGGCAUUCUGGCAGGAGGUAGGUAACCUCUUGACACAGAUAUUUCAGCGCAGGAUAGAACUAGACCCCUGGGUCUUCUUACUGUCCAGAUCAUUAGACGACUGGGUGAGAUUAGCAAAAUCUCCUACAGAAAAUAACCCUUGCAGCACGUAGAGCCCUGGCACAGACCUGGCUACAGCUGAGCGCCCCGCACGUCUCUGUAGUGAUAUAUAAAAUAAGGGACACGUGUCUCAUGGAUAGGAUGACUGCAUUUACUAGGGGGUCCUUACAGAAACAAAACAAGAUGUGGGAACCAUGGCUAAACGCAAAAAAGUCUAUAGAUUAUUAGGUCUGUCCACCUCCCGCAAGUGGUGCUCUAGACGGCUCCCUUCAACUCCCCCUCCCUCCCCGCUUCACCCCUUUCCGUUACUCGAGUUAAUUCCCCAUCUCUACUUUUCUUCUCUGGAUUACUAUGAUCAACCUCUCAACGUAGAAAGGCAUGUGUAAUGAACAUAGGAAGUGAGAAUAAAACUGUUGAGAACCUGAUCCUAUGUGGGCCGCAUUCUCUGCCCACCAGUUCUUACUAUCCAUUUUCAAAAUUGUUUGUUUCAUUGUUUUACAUUUUAUCUUCUUUAAAAAAAAAAAAUAAUAAAGUUUACUUUACAAACCUCAGUCAUAAUGUCUAACAAUAUGUCUCAUAUACAGCUUCGUUACUACUGGCCUUAUGCUGAUAAACAUGUCCACUGUGCGACUGACUGAUUAUACACAAUAUUGUAUUGUUACCUCUGUGUUGUAUGUGGAACCCUGUCUUGAACUAAAUAAAGAAUUUAUUUUUUAAAAAAAAGUGUUCCUGGAAGUUACUUAUAUAGAGGUUUCAACAUUUUAGAAAGUUUGGUGCUCAAGUGAGGUUAUUCGGGUUUAUUAGUGACCUACGAUAUCAUGGGUCAAAUAAGAG